GAGAGCGGCGAACGGGUGAGUAACACGUUGGAAUCUGCCCCCAAGUCAGGGAUAGUCUAGGGAAACCUAGGGUAAUACCGGAUAGUCUCUUUGGAGUAAAAAUUUAUUGCUUGGGGAGGAGCCUGCGAUCUAUCAGUUAGUUGGUGAGGUAAUGGCUUACCAAGACUAUGACGGAUAACUGGUCUGAGAGGAUGAUCAGUCACAAUGGAACUGAGACACGGUCCAUACUCCUACGGGAGGCAGCAGUGAGGAAUCUUCCACAAUGGACGCAAGUCUGAUGGAGCGACACCGCGUGAAGGAAGAAGGCCUAACGGUUGUAAACUUCUUUUCUGAAGGAGCAUAAUGAGAGUACUUUAGGAAUAAGGGACGGCUAAAUAUGUGCCAGCAGCCGCGGUAAUACAUAUGUCUCAAGCGUUACCCGGAAUAACUGGGUGUAAAGGGUUUGUAGGUUGCUAAUUAAGUCAGGUAUGAAAGACCGGAGCUUAACUUCGAGUUUGUAUUUGAAACUGGUUAGCUGGAAUUAGGGAGAGGUAAGCGGAAUUCUAAGUGUAGGGGUGCAAUCCGUAGAUACUUAGAGGAACACCAAAAGCGAAGGCAGCUUACUGGAACUAUAUUGACACUGAAAAACGAAAGCGUGGGGAGCGAAAAGGAUUAGAUACCCUUGUAGUCCACGCCCUAAACGAUGAUAACUAAGUGUUGCAUGAAGAUGCAGUGCUGAAGCAAACGCAUUAAGUUAUC
rnacentral:rRNA from 1 species